rnacentral:rRNA from 1 species
ACAAAAAGCUAAAGCUUUUGGUGGUAUACGAUGGAUCCGCGUCUGAUUAGCUGGUUGGCGGGGUAAAGGCCCACCAAGGCGACGAUCAGUAGCCGGCCUGAGAGGGUGAACGGCCACAUUGGGACUGAGACACGGCCCAAACUCCUACGGGAGGCAGCAGUGGGGAAUAUUGCACAAUGGGGGAAACCCUGAUGCAGCGACGCCGCGUGAGUGAAGAAGUAUUUCGGUAUGUAAAGCUCUAUCAGCAGGGAAGAAAAUGACGGUACCUGACUAAGAAGCCCCGGCUAACUACGUGCCAGCAGCCGCGGUAAUACGUAGGGGGCAAGCGUUAUCCGGAUUUACUGGGUGUAAAGGGAGCGUAGACGGCAGCGCAAGUCUGGAGUGAAAUCCCAUGGCUUAACCAUGGAACUGCUUUGGAAACUGUGCAGCUGGAGUGCAGGAGAGGUAAGCGGAAUUCCUAGUGUAGCGGUGAAAUGCGUAGAUAUUAGGAGGAACACCAGUGGCGAAGGCGGCUUACUGGACUGUAACUGACGUUGAGGCUCGAAAGCGUGGGGAGCAAACAGGAUUAGAUACCCUGGUAGUCCACGCUGUAAACGAUGAUUAAUAGGUGUUGGGG